rnacentral:misc_RNA from 1 species
AGAUUUUGUGUUUUGCCUAUCAAAUACAAUUGUGGGGAAAUAAGGGCAUACCGCAUACGCAUCUAUGAUCAUGAUAUUAUAUAAGUCAUCUUCUGUAAAUUCGAGAAACUUCAACUAUUUAAAUGUAAAGAACAUAGCACCUUGAUAAAAAACGAGUGCCUGACUGUCAAUAUGCCACGCAAAAUUUGAGUUACUUUUUAAGGAUACGAGUUCCUUCAACUUUCUGCAAGUAGAGAAUUU